rnacentral:lncRNA from 1 species
UAAAAUGGAUGAGCUUAUAAGGAAGACAAAGAGUAGAGCUCUCCAUUUUAACAAGGCAAGAAUAAGUUCUUUGCCAUGAGUGAGUCUUAAGGCAACAUGAAAUAACAAUAUUAAGUCUAUUCAUGAUGUGCCACUCAUGCCAGGUAAUUUGCCCUGAGUGCUCGUUUGUGUUAAUAAUCAAUGAUGACAGAAAACGUGUGUAACUAGUUAAUGUUCUGUUUCAUCGUGCAGAAACUAGAAUAGUAAGGAGACUGCAACAUUCUGCAGAAGAUAUCUGCUGGGAGCUUUCCACAGCAGUCAUCCCAUCAAUGUGAUCGAUUUUUCGUGAAACUACACGACCUUCUAUUUUUCUUGUUCUUAUUACUCUCUCUUGUAUAAU